CCUACGGGUGGCAGCAGUGGGGAAUAUUGGACAAUGGGGGGAAGCCUGAUCCAGCGACGCCGCGUGAGUGAAGAAGUAUUUCGGUAUGUAAAGCUCUAUCAGCAGGGAAGAAAAUGACGGUACGUGACUAAGAAGCCCCGUCUAACUACGUGCCAGCAGCCGCGGUAAUACGUAGGGAGCAAGCGUUAUCCGGAUUUACUGGGUGUAAAGGGAGCGUAGACGGUGCAGCAAGUCUGAUGUGAAAGGUCGGGGCCCAAACCCGGGACUGCAUUUGAAACUGUGGGACUGGAGUACAGGAGAGGUAAGCGGAAUGCGUGGUGUAGCGGUGAAAUGCGUAGAUAUCAGGCAGAACACCAGUGGCGAAGGCGGCUUACUGGACUGCAACUGACGUUGAGGCUCGAAAGCGUGGGGAGCAAACAGGAUUAGAUACCCGGGUAGUC
rnacentral:rRNA from 1 species